UACGUAGGGUGCAAGCGUUAAUCGGAAUUACUGGGCGUAAAGCGUGCGCAGGCGGUUUUGUAAGUCUGUCGUGAAAUCCCCGGGCUCAACCUGGGAAUUGCGAUGGAGACUGCAAGGCUAGAAUCUGGCAGAGGGGGGUAGAAUUCCACGUGUAGCAGUGAAAUGCGUAGAGAUGUGGAGGAACACCGAUGGCGAAGGCAGCCCCCUGGGUCAAGAUUGGACGCUCAUGACACGAAAGCGUGGGGAGCAAACGAGG
rnacentral:rRNA from 1 species